CCAAUAGCGUAUAUUAAAGUUGUUGCAGUUAAAAAGCUCGUAGUUGAAUUUCGGGGUUCAUCCGUUGGUCGGGCUUUUUUGGUCUGUACUGGCGUGAUGGAUUCCUACCUUCUGAAUAACCAGCAUGUCAUUAAUUUGGUGCGCUGGGGAAGCAGGACUGUUACCUUGAAAAAAUUAGAGUGCUUAAAGCAGGCUAUCGCCUGAAUACAUUAGCAUGGAAUAAUGAAAUAGGAAGGCAUGGUUCUAUUUUGUUGGUUUCUAGGAUCACCGUAAUGAUUAAUAGGGAUAGUUGGGGGCAUUAGUAUUCAAUUGUCAGAGGUGAAAUUCUUGGAUUUAUUGAAGACUAACUUCUGCGAAAGCAUUUGCCAAGGAUGUUUUCAUUAAUCAAGAACGAAAGUUAGGGGAUCGAAGACGAUCAGAUACCGUCGUAGUCUUAACCAUAAACUAUGCCGACUAGGGAUCGGACGAUGUUAAUUUUUUAAUGACUCGUUCGGCGCCUUACG
rnacentral:rRNA from 1 species